AUGUCCGUCGCCCCGUCGGCGCGCGGCGGCUGCGGUGCCGCCAAGGCCGCGCGGCGCCACCAGGCAGGGCGCGCUGGCGGAGGGAGGCGCCGCGCCGCCGUGGUCCUCCUUCUCCUCGCGCUGGCAUACGCGGCGGGGCUGCUCAUGUUCGUCUUAGGAGGCGGAGGUUCUGUCGACGGCGGCGGCCACGCGGGCGUGACGGUGGCAUCGUUACGGCGGCGGCGCGCGCUCGCCCCGUCCCCACCGCCGCCGGGAUCGGUUUACCGCAGCCACAUCGUGUUUAAGCGGCUAUGGCCGGACAUACGCGACGACGCCGCGUCCGCUUCGACCGCCACCUCCGCUUCCGUCUCCACCUCCUCUCCAUGGCGUCGCAGCAUGUUAAUGACAUCACGUUAUCCAAAUUCUGGAGAGCUAUGGAUGCCAUGCGUCAAGAGGAGGCUGAUUCCAUCAGAUUUGCCGACUUCAAAUGGGUAUCUCAUAGUUGAAGCAAAUGGUGGUCUGAAUCAACAGCGUCUUUCUAUCUGCGAUGCAGUUGCUGUGGCCAGCUUGCUUAAUGCAACUCUUGUGAUCCCAAUAUUUCAUUUGAAUAGCGUUUGGCGUGAUCCUAGCAAAUUUAGUGAUAUUUUUGAUGAAGAUCGUUUUAUCGGGACACUCAGACAACAUGUAAGAGUUGUGAAGGAACUCCCAAAAGAUGUUCUGCUGCGUUUCAAUCAUAAUAUAAGCAGCAUACCAAAUAUGCGAACUAAAGCCUACUCAUCCCCAGAUCAUUAUGUUCAGAAGGUGCUUCCGAAAUUAAUGGAGUUAGGGGUUGUGCGCAUUGCCCCAUUCUCGAAUAGAUUGGCUCAGUCAGUUCCAUCGAAUAUCCAGGCCUUGAGGUGUUUGGUAAACUACGAGGCUCUGCGGUUUGCCGAACCAAUAAGGGUUCUUGCAGACGAUAUGGUUGUUCGAAUGAUGAAAAGGAGUUCUUUGGCUGGUGGGAAAUAUGUCUCGGUGCAUCUCCGUUUCGAAGAGGAUAUGGUAGCCUUUUCAUGCUGUACAUAUGAUGGUGGCCGGAAGGAGAAAAUUGAAAUGGAAAAUGCCCGUGAAAGGAGCUGGAGAGGGAAGUUUCACCGACCUGGUCGAGUUAUCAAUCCCGAGGCAAACAGAAGGGAUGGGAAAUGCCCGCUUACUCCUCUAGAGGUUGGCAUGAUGCUGCGAGGCAUGGGGUUUGACAAUACAACUUUCCUCUACGUUGCCUCCGGUAAAAUAUACAAUGCUGCAAAAUACAUGGCUCCCCUUGGCCAGAUGUUCCCUCUUUUACAGACCAAGGACACUCUUGCAUUGUCUGAAGAGCUUGCUAAGUUUGAGGGGUACUCUUCUCGGUUAGCAGCAUUAGAUUACACCAUCUGUGUUCAGAGCGAAGUGUUUGUGACGACUCAAGGGGGGAACUUCCCUCACUUUUUGAUGGGACACAGGCGUUACCUGUUAGGAGGGAAUGCAAAGACAAUAAAACCCGACAAACGGAAGCUGGUCUUAUCUUUUGACGACCCAAAUAUCAGAUGGAGUCGAUUCAAGCACCACAUGCUGGAAAUACUGCACCAUAGUGACAUAAGGGGCAUCGCAUUCAGGAAACCUAAUGAUUCCAUAUAUACCUUCCCAAUGCCUGAUUGCAUGUGCCAACAAGAUGGAAUAUGA
rnacentral:rRNA from 1 species